AUGGCACAUGAUUUGAUACCACUAAAGGAUGGUGACAAUCUUGAAAAGGCAGGCAGAGAAAUUUUCGACGAGCUAACUUGGCGAUCAUUCUUUCAAGAGGUCAAGCUAAACCCCCUAAAACUGAAUCUGAAUGCAAAAUACUGGGGGGAGAUCCGUUCUAGAACAGUAUGCAGGAUACAUGAUCUUAUGCAUGACAUUGCCUUGUCUGUUAUGGGAAAAGAUUGUCUUACUAUAGUUGACAGGCCUAAUGAAAAUCAGUUGUUGUCAGCAGGCCCUACUCGCCACUUGUUCUCAUCAUAUAAGUAUAUCCAAACUCUUUUGGAUGCUUAUCUGAAGAAACACUCUCCUGCUCUUCAGACACUGUUGUAUACAGAUAGCUUCACUCGUGGCUCGACACCUCAUUUGUCGAAUCACAGCCAUCUGCGAGCAUUGCAACUCUUUCAAGAGUGCAAAUGGAAAAAGGCACCCCAACCGAGGCACCUACAACACCUGAGGUAUCUUGAUAUCUCAAAGCACCAUUAUAUGAACGAACUUCCCAAGGAAAUAAGCACACUGUAUAAUCUACAGACCCUUAAUCUUACUGGUUGCCGGAAUCUUGGUCGACUUCCAAAGGAUAUGAAGUAUAUGACAAAUCUCCGCAACCUCUAUACAAAUGGAUGCAUAUCAUUGAAGUGCAUGUCUCCAGAACUCGGGCAACUCACUUCUCUGCAGACCCUAACAUACUUUGUGGUGGGUUCCAGUCCUGAUUGCAGUACUAUUGGAGAACUAAGGGAUUUAAAUCUUGGUGGUGAAUUAAAACUUGCUGGUCUUCAGUAUGUAACUGAACAAGACGCUAGAGCAUGCAGUCUUGGAAAUAAAGAGAAACUCACACAUUUAUCUCUUGAAUGGAGCGAUGAUGGCAGUGAAGAACUGGACCAGCACAGGAAUGUGCUUGAUGCUCUUAAACCUCAUGUUGCACUGGAGUUUUUACAAAUAAACUCCUAUAAAGGUAUUGGAUUCCCAGCAUGGGUGGCAGAUCUUACUUUACUGCAGCAUUUGACCAAGCUCCACCUAGAUGGUUGUACAAUGUGUGAGGAAUUUCCCCAAUUCAGUCAAUUUAAGGCCCUUGAAGUUCUUGUUUUGAAAAGGUUGAACAUGCUGCAAAGCCUAUGUAGUCACAAUGCAUCUGCAGCAUUUCCAGCAUUAAAAGACCUCAUAUUAAAUCAUUUGGAGAAUUUUGAGAGAUGGGUGGCAACAGAAGGAGAAGAGUUAACAUUUCCUCUACUUGAGAAUGUUAAAAUUAAGGACUGCCCAAAGCUAACAACUCUAGCUGAAGCACCAAAAAUCAAAGUUAUAAAGGUAGAAGAAGGCAAUUCUCAACUAUCCUUAUCAAUAUUUGGAUCCAGGUACAUGUCUUGCUUGUCUGAAUUAUCCCUGUCAGUCGAUGAUACUGAAGCAACACCGACACUGAAGCUUGAUCAGGAUUGUGAAGUAUCUCUUUUGGAAAUGUCAUUAAAUGGUUUCAACUUUUUGUUCCCCUCAUGCGCAUCACAGCCAGCAGUUGGGGUCUGGAAAUGCUUUGGUCAGCUUUUGGAGUUGAAAAUUGGCUCUUGUGAUAUGCUCAUCUACUGGCCUGAAGAAGAGUUCCGAAGCUUGGUAUCAUUGAAGAGUUUCUGCAUUGAGAACUGCAGCAAUCUAACAGGCCCCGCCAAUGUGACAGGAUACCAUACUCGAGGAAGGGAUCAACUCCUGCCAAAUCUAAAAGAUCUAUCCAUAUAUGAAUGUGGAAGCUUGGAAGAGCUUUUCGUUCUUCCCCCAUCUCUCACGAGUAUUGGCAUUCGAGACUGCGGUAGUCUUGAGUCCAUUCUGGGGCAGGAUAACAGAGAGUUGGAGAGUGUACAACACUUUGAUAGAACAGUAUCGUCAGAACACUGCAGUACAAGUAUGCCAGAGCAAUCACCUUCACCCAGAAUUAAUUCAUUGCCAUUUCUCGGGUCAUUAUAUAUAAAUGACUGUAACAAUCUUCGUUUCGUGCCAGCGCAGUUGGAUGCACUCGUAUAUCUGUAUAUUAAGGCUUGCAAUGAUCUGGAGUCGCUGGAUUGUUUGGGAGACCUACCGUUAAUGGAAUCACUACAUCUUGAGGGAUGCAGACAUUUGGUAUCUGUACCAGGUAGUGAUGGGAACUACCCAGCCCUUCGGAUGCUAACUAUUAGAUACUGCCCAGCUAUAAAUAUGAAGCCACUUUAUCGGUGCCUCCAGCAACGGCUCGGUAGCCUUGAAACCAAGGAUCUAUCUGAUGCUAGUUCACGUGAUCCUGAAGAAGGUACCUUUAAAGUUCCUUUUACUCCAUUUAGUUUCCCGUUUCUCACCUUGUCUAUUGUGUUACAAAUGUACACCUUGCAGCCUGUAGUUUCAAGUUUUAUCCAAUCAUACUUGUAUUUUCGCUUUUGGGAACACAUUUGGUUUGUCUGUUUUUUUUUAAUUUCAAUGUCAAGAAGGUUGUGA
rnacentral:rRNA from 1 species